rnacentral:rRNA from 1 species
UACGUAGGGGGCAAGCGUUGUCCGGAUUUAUUGGGCGUAAAGAGCGUGUAGGCGGCCAUGCAGGUCCGUUGUGAAAACUCGAGGCUCAACCUCGAGACGUCGAUGGAAACCGCAUGGCUAGAGUCCGGAAGAGGAGAGUGGAAUUCCUGGUGGUAGCGGUGAAAUGCGCAGAUAUCAGGAAGAACACCCGUGGCGAAGGCGGCUCUCUGGGACGGUACUGACGCUGAGACGCGAAAGCGUGGGGAGCGAACAGG